rnacentral:rRNA from 1 species
CCUACGGGGGGCUGCAGUGGGGAAUAUUGGACAAUGGGGGCAACCCUGAUCCAGCCAUGCCGCGUGUGUGAAGAAGGCCCUCGGGUUGUAAAGCACUUUCAGUGAGGAAGAACGCCUGGUGGUUAAUACCCAUCAGGAAAGACAUCACUCACAGAAGAAGCACCGGCUAACUCCGUGCCAGCAGCCGCGGUAAUACGGAGGGUGCGAGCGUUAAUCGGAAUUACUGGGCGUAAAGCGCGCGUAGGUGGCUUGAUAAGCCGGUUGUGAAAGCCCCGGACUCAACCUGGGAACGGCAUCCGGAACUGUCAAGCUAGAGUGCAGGAGAGGAAGGUAGAAUUCCCGGUGUAGCGGUGAAAUGCGUAGAGAUCGGGAGGAAUACCAGUGGCGAAGGCGGCCUUCUGGACUGACACUGACACUGAGGUGCGAAAGCGUGGGUAGCAAACAGGAUUAGAUACCCGGGUAGUC